GACGAACGCUGGCGGCGUGCUUAACACAUGCAAGUCGAACGAUGAAGCCGGAGCUUGCUCUGGUGGAUUAGUGGCGAACGGGUGAGUAACACGUGAGUAACCUGCCCUUGACUCUGGGAUAAGCGUUGGAAACGACGUCUAAUACCGGAUACGAGCUAGGACCGCAUGGUCACUAGCUGGAAAGAAUUUCGGUCAAGGAUGGACUCGCGGCCUAUCAGUUAGUUGGUGAGGUAACGGCUCACCAAGACGACGACGGGUAGCCGGCCGGAGAGGGUGACCGGCAACCCUGGGACUGAGACACGGCCCAGACUCCUACGGGAGGCAGCAGUGGGGAAUAUUGCACAAUGGGCGCAAGCCUGAUGCAGCAACGCCGCGUGAGGGACGACGGCCUUCGGGUUGUAAACCUCUUUUAGCAGGGAAGAAGCGCAAGUGACGGUACCUGCAGAAAAAGCACCGACUAACUACGUGCCAGCAGCCGCCGUAACAC
rnacentral:rRNA from 1 species